CGGACUUGUAUUCCGAUUUUUCGGGUACAGCCAAACACUCUCACUUUGUGUAAAUAACACACACGUAUCGACACAUAUUCCGGGGUGCCCUUUGGGGUCGGUAAUAUGGGAUACGUGGAGGCAUAACC
rnacentral:sRNA from 1 species